rnacentral:rRNA from 1 species
GGACCCGCACAAGUAGUGGAGCAUGUGGUUUAAUUCGAAGAUACGCGCAGAACCUUACCAACACUUGACAUGUUCGUCGCGACUUUAAGAGAUUAAAGUUUUCGGUUCGGCCGGACGAAACACAGGUGCUGCAUGGCUGUCGUCAGCUCGUGUCGUGAGAUGUUGGUUAAGUCCCGCAACGAGCGCAACCCUCACUUUUAGUUGCCAUCAUUUAGUUGGGCACUCUGAAAGAACUGCCAGUGAUAAGCUGGAGGAAGGUGGGGAUGACGUCAAGUCCUCAUGGCCCUUACGUGUUGGGCUACACACGUGCUACAAUGGUAUCUACAACAGGAAGCAAGACUGCGAAGUUUAGCAA